rnacentral:lncRNA from 1 species
CUACAGGACAACUGAGGUGGACUCAUCAGCAUACCAGUGCCCUGAAAAUUUAACUAAAGAAGGUGCAAGGUCAAGGGUCUGCUUUUGGUCAAUGACUGCUGUCUGACAGAGUCCCGAGCGACAUGGAUGGCACUGUACUUCACAAUGAGAUCCAGUUUCAACAUGUGAAGCCUUGGGGGACACACUCAACGAUGUCCAAAUGGCUGGGACUCUAGCUGCUUUGACAAAGUGCUCAGAAGUAUCCAAAUUCAUUACAAUGGUGCAUGGAAAACCAGAUUUGCAAGUUUUGGAGGAGGUUGAAAGUGAAUCAUCAGGUGACUCAUGCAUUGAUGAUGAUGAUGAUGAUGAUAAUUGAUGUUGGCCGUGUGAGCCAAAGUUCCUGUGAUGCUGAAAUGGAGCAAGAAUUGACUGAUAUAGACACAAGGAAUAAAGACCUCCCUGAUUCAGAUGAUGAAGAAAACAGCAAUCUUAGUACAUGUAUGACUAGUCCAAAUGGUACAAAAUGGUCAUGAAACCAAAUGAAAUGAUCCAAUGUUAGAACUAGGUCCAAAAAUAUAGUGAGGAUCUUGGCAGGGUGAAUCCAAUUGGAUGGAAUGUCAGCACUACCAUUCAAUGUUGGAAAUUAUUUGUAAGAGAAAAAAUGCUACAAGAUGUUGUGAAAUUCACAAAUGAUGAAAUACAAGUAAAAAGUUCUUUAUGCAUUGAUAACCAUACUAAAAAAUGUGUUUAUUGUGACCUCUUACUAGCUGAACUGAAAGCAUUCUCUUACUUUCUGAACUGAAAGCAUUCAUAGGUCUGCUGUACUUAGCAGGGCUUUCUCAUGAUAAUUGCAGGAAUUUAAAAGCUUUAUGGAGAAGUGAUGAGUGU